rnacentral:rRNA from 1 species
UACGAAGGGUGCUAGCGUUGUUCGGAAUCACUGGGCGUAAAGCGCGCGUAGGCGGCGAUACAAGUCAGAGGUGAAAGCCUGGAGCUCAACUCCAGAAUUGCCUUUGAAACCGCAUUGCUAGAGUGUCGGAGGGGAUAGCGGAAUUGCUAAUGUAGAGGUGAAAUUCGUAGAUAUUAGCAGGAACACCGGUGGCGAAGGCGGCUAUCUGGACGACAACUGACGCUGAGGCGCGAAAGCGUGGGGAUCAAACAGGAUCGAGAAACCCGA